UACGAAGGGGGCGAGCGUUGUUCGGAUUUACUGGGCGUAAAGGGCGCGUAGGCGGCCCUCCUAGUCGCGUGUGAAAGCCCCGGGCUCAACCUGGGAACUGCAUCCGAAACUGCCUUGCUCGAGUAUGGGAGAGGGAAGUGGAAUUUCCGGUGUAGCGGUGAAAUGCGUAGAUAUCGGAAGGAACAUCAGUGGCGAAGGCGACUUCCUGGACCAAUACUGACGCUCAGGUGCGAAAGCGUGGGGAGCAAACAGG
rnacentral:rRNA from 1 species